AUUGAACGCUAGCGGCAUGCUUUACACAUGCAAGUCGAACGAGUGGCGGACGGGUGAGUAAUAUAUCGGAACGUGCCCAGUAGCGGGGGAUAACUACUCGAAAGAGUGGCUAAUACCGCAUACUCUUGGAGCGGCCGAUAUCGGAUUAGCUAGUUGGUGGGGUAAAGGCUCACCAAGGCAACGAUCCGUAGCGGGUUUGAGAGGAUGACCAGCCACACUGGGAAUGAGAAACGGCCCAGAAUCCUACGGGAGGCAGCAGUGGGGAAUUUUGGACAAUGGGGGCAAGCCUGAUCCAGGCAUGCCGCGUGUAUGAGAAGGCCUUCGGGUUGUAAAGGACUUUUGGCAGAGAAGCGGUAUCUGCAGAAUAAGCACCGGCUAACUACGUGCCAGCAGCCGCGGUAAUUC
rnacentral:rRNA from 1 species